rnacentral:rRNA from 1 species
GUGCUCGUCAAGUAUGAGGCCUGGCUUCGCGGCCGGCUGAAUAUUUUUUCACCCAUGUCUUUUGCGCACUUGUUGUUUCCUGGGCGGGUUCGCCCGCCACCAGGACCAAACCAUAAACCUUUUUCUUAUGCAGUUUCCAUCAGCGUCAGUAAAAACAAUGUAAUAAUUACAACUUUCAACAACGGAUCUCUUGGUUCUGGCAUCGAUGAAGAACGCAGCGAAAUGCGAUACGUAGUGUGAAUUGCAGAAUUCAGUGAAUCAUCGAAUCUUUGAACGCACAUUGCGCCCUUUGGUAUUCCAAAGGGCAUGCCUGUUCGAGCGUCAUUUGUACCUUCAAGCUUUGCUUGGUGUUGGGCGUUUUUGUCUCCCUCUUUCUGGGAGACUCGCCUUAAAACGAUUGGCAGCCGGCCUACUGGUUUCGGAGCGCAGCACAUUUUUUGCGCUUUGUAUCAGGAGAAAAGGACGGUACUCCAUCAAGACUUUUACAAUUUUAACUUUUGACCUCGGAUCAGGUAGGGAUACCCGCUGAACUUAAGCAUAUCAAAAGGGGGGAGGAAA